ensembl:lncRNA
GCAUUCAGGGCUCGAACCACCCAGUUUAUAACAGGUAAUGGAGAACCAGUGAUACCAUAUUACAGGUAAUAGAGGACCAAUGCUACCGUAUUACAGGUAAUAGAGGAGCCAUCAUGCCGUAUUACAGGUAAUAGAGGACCAGUGAUACCGUAUUACAGGGAAUAGAGGACCAGUGAUACCGUAUUACAGGUAAUAGAAGAGCAGUGAUAGCGUAUUACAGGUAAUAGAGGACCAGUGAUAGUAUUAUAGGUAAUAGAAGAGCAGUGAUACCGUAUUACAGGUAAUAGAGGACCAGUGAUAGUAUUAUAGGUAAUAGAAGAGCAGUGAUACCGUAUUACAGGUAAUAGAGGAGCAGUGAUACCGUAUUACAGGUAAUAGAGGAGCAGUGAUACCGUAUUACAGGUCAUAGAAGAGCAGUGAUAGCGUAUUACAGGUAAUAGAGGACCAGUGAUAACGUAUUACAGGUAAUAGAGGACCAGUGAUACCAUAUUACAGGUAAUAGAGGAGAAGUGAUACAGUAUUACAGGUAAUAGAGGAGCAGUGAUAUACGGCAUGUAUUACAGGUAAUAGAGGAGCAGUGAUGUACGGCAUGUAUUACAGGUAAUAGAGGAGCAGUGCUACCAUAUUACAGGUAAUAGAGGAGCAGUGAUACCAUAUUACAGGUAAUAGAGGAGCAGUGAUACCAUAUUACAGGUAAUAGAGGAGCAGUGAUACCGUAUUACAGGUAAUAGAGGAGCAGUGCUACCAUAUUACAGGUAAUAGAGGAGCAGUGACACCGUAUUACAGGUAAUAGAGGAGCUGCUGCUGAGUUAAUAAUUAUGAUUAUGGGAGUCAAAAAUAUUCUAAAUACUUUACAGACUUUAGAAAUACAGCAACAACAGGAACAUCUGCAGUCAGAAACCAGACUAAUGAAUAAAAUGAAAUGUUUUUGAAUCCUAAAUCGACCCUUAGCCCCUGUUUCAUAGGCCUAUGCACUCCAGUAUUCCAGUGCAGUACUAUAUAUCACUCUAUUCUUUACAUAGUGCACUACUUUUGGCCUGAACUCUGGAUUAGGGACUUCUACAGGGAUCCGUCUUGUGUUCUGUUGAUGUUUCUGUUGGCUAGAA